rfam:Lactobacillus harbinensis DSM 16991 NODE_9, whole genome shotgun sequence.
UGAAACGAGCUGGGGUGCCAUUAGUGGCUGAGAGAAACCCAUGAACCUGAUCUGGAUAAUGCCAGCGGAGGGAGCUCAUGUUAUUCUUUU